rnacentral:rRNA from 1 species
CGCGUAGGCGGUGAUUUAAGUGAGAUGUGUAAUCCCCGAGCUUAACUUGGGAACUGCAUCUCAGACUGGGUCGCUAGAGUGCUGGAGAGGGUGGUAGAAUUCCACGUGUAGCGGUGAAAUGCGUAGAGAUGUGGAGGAAUACCAGUGGCGAAGGCGGCCACCUGGACAGUAACUGACGCUGAGGCGCGAAAGUGUGGGGAGCAAACAGGAUUAGAUACCCUGGUAGUCCACGCUGUAAACGAUGAACACUUGGUGUGGCGGGAGUUGACCCCUGCCGUGCCGGAGCUAACGCGAUAAGUGUUCCGCCUGGGGAGUACGGUCGCAAGGCUGAA